rnacentral:rRNA from 1 species
AGUGAACGCUGGCGGUAGGCCUAACACAUGCAAGUCGAACGGCAGCACAGUAAGAGCUUGCUCUUACGGGUGGCGAGUGGCGGACGGGUGAGGAAUACAUCGGAAUCUACCUUUUCGUGGGGGAUAACGUAGGGAAACUUACGCUAAUACCGCAUACGACCUACGGGUGAAAGCAGGGGAUCUUCGGACCUUGCGCGAUUGAAUGAGCCGAUGUCGGAUUAGCUAGUUGGCGGGGUAAAGGCCCACCGAGGCGACGAUCCGUAGCUGGUCUGAGAGGAUGAUCAGCCACACUGGAACUGAGACACGGUCCAGACUCCUACGGGAGGCAGCAGUGGGGAAUAUUGGACAAUGGGCGCAAGCCUGAUCCAGCCAUACCGCGUGGGUGAAGAAGGCCUUCGGGUUGUAAAGCCCUUUUGUUGGGAAAGAAAAGCAGCAGGUUAAUACCCCGCUGUUCUGACGGUACCCAAAGAAUAAGCACCGGCUAACUUCGUG